rnacentral:rRNA from 1 species
CAGCAGCCGCGGUAAAACGUAGGGUGCAAGCGUUAAUCGGAAUUACUGGGCGUAAAGCGUGCGCAGGCGGUUAUAUAAGACAGAUGUGAAAUCCCCGGGCUCAACCUGGGAACUGCAUUUGUGACUGUAUAGCUAGAGUACGGCAGAGGGGGAUGGAAUUCCGCGUGUAGCAGUGAAAUGCGUAGAUAUGCGGAGGAACACCGAUGGCGAAGGCAUUCCCCUGGGCCUGUACUGACGCUCAUGCACGAAAGCGUGGGGAGCAAACAGGAUUAGAUACCCCCGUAGUCCCUGUCUCUUAUAA